UGUAACCUACCCUGUGCAGGGGGAUAGCCCGGAGAAAUUCGGAUUAAUACCCCAUAAUGAUAUUUGGAGGCAUCUUUGAAUAUUUAAAGCUUCGGCGGUACGGGAUGGGCAUGCGUGACAUUAGCUAGUUGGUAAGGUAACGGCUUACCAAGGCUGCGAUGUCUAGGGGUCCUGAGAGGGUGAUCCCCCACACUGGUACUGAGACACGGACCAGACUCCUACGGGAGGCAGCAGUGAGGAAUAUUGGUCAAUGGGCGUAAGCCUGAACCAGCCAUCCCGCGUGAAGGAAGAAGGCGCUAUGCGUCGUAAGCUUCUUUUCCGAAGGAAUAAAAUUUUGUACGAGUACAGAACUGAAGGUACUUUGGGAAUAAGCAUCGGCUAACUCCGUGCCAGCAGCCGCGGUAAUACGAAGGAUGCGAGCGUUAUCCGGAUUUAUUGGGUUUAAAGGGUGCGUAGGCGGAUUAAUAAGUCAGUGGUGAAAACCUUCAGCUUAACUGGAG
rnacentral:rRNA from 1 species